rnacentral:rRNA from 1 species
UGGCUAGGUAAGUCCCUUGUUAAAUCCACCGAAUUAAUCGUUGGAUCGCGGGGGAUACUGCUUGGCUAGGGGACGAGAGAGGCAGACGGUAUUUUCGGGGUAGGGGUGAAAUCCUAUAAUCCCGGGAAGACCACCAGUGGCGAAGGCUGUCUGCUAGAACGCGCCCGACGGUGAGGGAUGAAAGCUGGGGGAGCGAACCGGAUUAGAUACCCGGGUAGUCCCAGCUGUAAACGAUGCAGACUAGGUGUUUGGACGGCCACGUGCCGUUCUAGUGCCGCAGGGAAGCUGUUAAGUCUGCCGCCUGGGGAGUACGAUCGCAAGAUUGAAACUUAAAGGAAUUGGCGGGGGAGCACCACAAGGGGUGAAGCUUGCGGUUUAAUUGGAGUCAACGCCGGAAAUCUCACCGGGAGCGACAGCAGUAUGAAAGCCAGAUUGAAGGUCUUGCUAGACGAGCUGAGAGGAGGUGCAUGGCCGUCGCCAGUUCGUGCCGUGAGGUGUCCGGUUAAGUCAGGCAACGAUCGAGACCCGCGUCCUCUGUUGCAACCAGCUUUGAGCUAGGCACACUGAGGAGACCGCCACUGAUAAAGUGGAGGAAGGAGCGGGCCACGGCAGGUCCGCAUG